UAUAAAUUGCUGCACUAAGCCAUUAUACAUAUGUAAUUAUUCAAUGCCCUUUCUUCCUUCAUAAAGCCUAUCAUAAAGAAAAAGUGUUCAUAGUGUAAUACUGUAACACAAUUUAGUAUGCUUCCAAUAGCCCCUCUGAGACAAACUCACAAAUGUUGAGUAAAACAGUGCCACCCAUGCUACGUCACAUGGGGAGGAUCAGAUCUUCAUUAAGGUGGAUCCAAAUACAGAAGAUCAUCAAUGGCAGAACGUCUUAGGUCC